AGUCGCGGCAACAACACGUCGGUGUUAUCACUGCUAACAGCGAUUCAAGGCUAGUUAUAUCAAGCUCCAGCAAAGACAGCAGUCGUUCAGCAGGAUUGAGCACCUGUUUCCUGUGUUCACUCAUUUGUGUCCUUCACGAAGCGAUAGCUUUAACUUUCCCAGUUGGAAGCUUUUUUCGUCUUCAUUCCCGGAAAUUUCUCAAGCAUAUUAUUUAUAAUGGAGUUCUUACAGAAAGUAGACCUAGCAACCUAGAUGUCUGGUAUUCAUGCGGAAAAAGAAGUUACUGAAACAACGAACCACCUGAGGGGUUGAUUGUAGGUGUAUGACUCCUGGAGGAAGUUUGAUGAAAACCCAAGUCUAAUAGAAAUUACCUGCUACAAGUUUGGAGUUGAGCUUCAGGGUUUCCGAACACGAGUACAUCUUCCCUGGGGACAUAACUUUCUUGUUGGUGGCUAGCAAUUAAAGCAAGAGAUCGCUACCUAGGUCGAACCUGUAGUGAAACCCUGACAUCAAGGUGUACAACAAAUUACUUCUGUUCCCGUACAUCAGUAAAAUCAAGAUUGAAGAGAUGAGAAACUCGAUACUCUUGAAGUCAACACUAUGACUUCAUCGUUCUAUCAACCUUUUGGUAGGAAGACCGUUUCGCUCACGCUUUUCGUGGUAUCGACAGCAGGUGUGGUUUUCACUGUUUCUAAACUAACUUUAUCAAGUGAAUACUAUAGGAUAUUAUAAACAUCAUUAAAGCUUUAUGGGUUAACUCUUAUUGUGAAAGUUACGUUAUUCUAGCUUCUACACCACUAAUGAGUUGCUAAAUCUUUAUUGUUUGACAUAAACCUGUAAAAAGAAAAGAACAAAAUUACUAAUUGUCUAUCUUACAAGACAUUGGGUAGUUAAUAAUUAAUAUAUCUGAUAGUAAUAUUUUCUUCGAUCAUGAAAGUUAUACUGCAGGUUUAUAGUUUUGAUAACAGAUGCCUCGUUUUAAGUUGUAAGUACUUUACACAGUACCUGAACGGUAAACAAAGCCGCUGUGUUGAAACAGCAAGUUACCCCUACACAAGUUCACUUCAGCCUAAGGGGAACUGACAAUCUCGCCUCAGACACGGUUCAAUGGGCGGAUAAAUGUAAACAAUAUACCAUGGCGUUGCAAUCGGAGAAGCAGGGACGAUUGAAGGACCCUGCGGCCAUUUUGAACAGCUCGAUUCAUGCGUCAUUCUUUUAUGGUACCGACGCCUUUCACCUGCUCAGGCUACUCCACCUUGAAGUUGAAACGAAAGAUUUUCCUUCAUUUGUGCACCUUCAGGGAAAGUUGGACCCCUUCGUGUGGGUUUGUUCUUCUAGCGUGCUGAGGGACUCCUUGUAAGGGUUGUAAAUCUACGAUGUGCGUGACGCGGGAAUAUCCCUGUGGAGAAAAGAUCUUCUCAGUAUUCCAAGGACAUAAAACGUAGAAUGUGGAUAUACAAAGAAAUAUCAUUUUGAUGUGCGCUUAUAAGUAUGCUGAUUAAUACAGUCGUCCACUAAGAACUAAUUGCUCACACGACUUCGGCGAAAGCUUCCCAACGCCUAUGUGGCCGUCAAUAAGGGUUUAGGUGGGUCAUUCACUCGCUUUUCCAGUAACUAUAAAACGCAUGCGUGUAAUUUGUGAAACUGUCACUAUGUUUAACGUUUAAUGACCGAAAAAUCUUUGAUGUAGAAUUUCAGUCUCCCUACGCUUUAAUAAAUUGGAUAAUCGUUUUAAAGUUGUA
rnacentral:lncRNA from 1 species